UGAGAGAACGAUGCUGAAGGAACUCGGCAAAUUGCCUCCGUAACUUCGGAAGAAGGAGGACCUUUAUUUGGGCAACCAGGUAAAGGUGGCACAGACCAGGGGGUAGCGACUGUUUAGCAAAAACACAGGGCUCUGCGAAAUCGCAAGAUGACGUAUAGGGUCUGACGCCUGCCCGGUGCCGGAAGGUUAAGAGGAGGGGUGCAAGCUCUGAAUCGAAGCCCCGGUAAACGGCGGCCGUAACAAUAACGGUCCUAAGGUAGCGAAAUUCCUUGUCGGGUAAGUUCCGACCUGCACGAAUGGCGUAACGACUUCCCCGCUGUCUCCAGCAUCGACUCAGUGAAAUUGAAUUCCCCGUGAAGAUGCGGGGUUCCUGCGGUUAGACGGAAAGACCCCGUGCACCUUUACUAUAACCUUGCAUUGGCAUUCGUGAUGGCAUGUGUAGGAUAGGUGGUAGGCUUUGAAGCUUGGGCGCUAGCUCAGGUGGAGCCACCCUUGAAAUACCACCCUUGUAGUUAUGAGUGUCUAACCGCGACCCGUUAUCCGGGCCCGGGACAAUGCAUGGUGGGUAGUUUGACUGGGGCGGUCGCCUCCCAAAGAGUAACGGAGGCGCGCGAUGGUGGGCUCAGAGCGGUCGGAAAUCACUCGUCGAGUGCAAUGGCAUAAGCCCGCCUGACUGCGAGACUGACAAGUCGAGCAGAGUCGAAAGACGGCCAUAGUGAUCCGGUGGUCCCACGUGGACGGGCCAUCGCUCAACGGAUAAAAGGUACGCCGGGGAUAACAGGCUGAUGAUCGCCAAGAGUCCAUAUCGACGCGAUCGUUUGGCACCUCGAUGUCGACUCAUCACAUCCUGGGGCUGGAGCAGGUCCCAAGGGUUCGGCUGUUCGCCGAUUAAAGUGGUACGUGAGUUGGGUUCAGAACGUCGUGAGACAGUUCGGUCCCUAUCUGCCGUGGGUGUAGGAGAAUUGAGAGGAUCUGUCCCUAGUACGAGAGGACCGGGAUGGACGUACCUCUGGUGGACCUGUUGUGGCGCCAGCCGCAUUGCAGGGUAGCUAUGUACGGACGGGAUAACCGCUGAAGGCAUCUAAGCGGGAAACCCACCUCGAAACUAUUUCUCCCUUGAGAGCCGUGGAAGACGACCACGUUGAUAGGCCGGGUGUGGAAGCGCAGUAAUGUGUGAAGCUUACCGGUACUAAUAGCCCA
rnacentral:rRNA from 1 species